GUCUCUCUCACCCUCUUCCAGCGCAGCGAGAAAUAAUCAGUUUUACUCAUGAAAGGGGGCGGGCUCAGAACUCCCAAGUAUUUUAAUGAAAGAAGCAUAGCCCUAAUACUUUAUUAUCUCAAACCCAUGCUGAUAAAGUCAUGUGUAUAGACUGUUUGUGUAAGAUAGCGGAUGGAUGUGUAUUUAAAAGCUAGCUAGCUGUAGGCUUCGCAUUCCGUAGUGGAUCCAGUACAUUCAAACAGUAAACCGAGGACCGUUAUAAAUAAUGAUUAAAAAUAACACAGGAAGGACGACUUUGUCCCGCCGCGUUAUUUUUAUUUACUUAGAGGUCUAUUGAUAGGCUACAGCACGUCGGCUAGAUUCACUCGCCUAAAUUAUCACAAUGGUUUCCGAAAUUUUAAUAAAAGCGGCUGUAAAGGGCUAAAAAACGGACGAUUGGAUGUACUUACUGUGAGAACCGUGUCAAGGACCAUGCCGCACAGGAAAUCGGGCACUCUACAAGCAGGACCUGCCCGGGCCCAUACCCAGGUGAACUUUGGUGAAGACCCGGGUCGGCUGUGAUCGGACAGGUCACACACAGCAAAGAAGGAGAGGGGCAGAUGCAUUUGCACAGCUGCAGUCAAUUAGUCUGUCACCGUUUUAUUUUUUUAUACCUUUUUUUUCUUGACAAUUGAGAUACUGCUCAGUGCUUUACAGAAAAAAAUAUUUUCAGAAGAUUUUUUUUUUAAAUGGUAGCUGUAACUAGUAAACAGCAAUGCAGUAAAAUGUUCAGUGUUAAAUCAACUCUUACAGAGUACAUACGGUCCCUAUGGACUCAUAUGUACUUUUUUUUAGAGUUGAAUCAAUGCUGGACAUUUUAUUGUGUGUAUUUGCGCCAAAACGUGCUAUGCAUUUAACAGAUGCUCAUAUUCAGAGCAAUUUUUACAUACAAUCAAUUCAUACAGGUGGAUAAUUUUACUGAAAUGAAUCAGGUUAAAUGCGUUGUUCUAGGGUGCAUGUGCUGUGCCACGUCUCGGAAUCAAACCUACAACCACAAGAGUUGAAAGCCCAGUUCUGUAACCUGUUACACUGCAUAGAAUGUAGGCAACUUUUGAUUUUUCAAUUUUUCAUCUGAAUAAAAUGAAUCUGUGUUUCAUCUGUGAGAACCUUGUCUAGGUGUACCUGUACAGUUUUGGGAAUACAAUCUCUUCAGUGUGUUGCUUUGCAAAACCCCUUUGAAACGGUAUUGUGAACAGUAAAAUGUGUCGUUGGGCAGCGGGAUUUUAACACGCAAGUUCAUUUUCUGCAAAUGGUGUUUUCAAGAAAGCACUGGUCAUCUGCUCCUAGAUGGUACUCUUGUGUAGAUAUCCUAGAACAUUUACAUUGCAUUACUCAAGUAAUUACUAAUUACCAUUUGUUUUCAUCAGAAGCUUGGGGAAUUUGUUUUGUUUUCUUAAUACUGGAAGUUAUGCAGCACAAAUAUAUUUGUAUUUAAACCAGCACAAGGGAUAUGUAUUCAUUUAAAUCCGCACACGCACUGUGGAAUCCAGAACAUUUAAAAAUACAGUGUUUUCAAAAAUUAAAUUUACGGCACAAUGCCUUGGUUUAGGUUUAAGUUUAAAGCAAUACAUGCUGCAUUCCUUCAGUCUGUGAUUUAUUUAUUUAUUUAUGUAUUUGGGGGGGGUGUGCGCUAAGAAUACUAUAAACACAUGCCUUUUGGCUCAUUGCACUUUUAAUUUUAUAGAGAAGGUUACAGCCUUAAUAAGUACUCAUUAAUUCAAAUUGACCAUUUCCUCAUUUCCACCCUGCACUGCCCCCCCUCCUUCCCCCACGCUGCCUCACACAUGCACCCGAGCCGGCGUUCGCAAGGGCGAUCUUUCCAGUUCAUUUUCCCCUUCAAGCUGCCAAGCAUGUAGAGCGAGAUCCUAAAGUGAACUUUUUUGGCAUCCCGGUGUUUGUCAAGAUGCUUUUCAGUAACUUAAAUGUGGAAAAAAAUUUCUGUGUGCUGAAAUGCUUAUACAGUGAAUUAAAAAAAAUGCAACACCACUGUCCGACGUAAGUGGGUUUAAGCAUAAGUAUUUUUCCACACACAGUUUUGUGUCAGCUGUUCUUAUAAACCAACUUCAAAAAAAGCAACGCUUGAGAAGCAAAUCACAGGGAAGUCUCUACUCUAAUGCUGAUAUCAGGGCAGUAGUAUGGAAUAAUGCUUAGGGAACUGGGCUUGUAACUUAGAGGUUGCAGGUUUGAUUCCAAAGUGCUGCAGUGCUAUUGCAGCCUUCAGCAGGAGACUUGAAUACACCUGAAUAUGCUUCAGUAAAAACACAUUCUAACUGUAUAUAAUGGACAGUGUAAAGAGAGCUGUGUGUGUAAGAGCAUCUAUUAAAUAAUAACAAAAUGGCCCAUACAUUAUAAAAUAUUCUAAAAUAUUUGCCAGUAUGAGUCCCAUACUAGCAAAUAUUUUCCAGCGUGAUAUUCGUAUUAUUUUUGCGUUGCAUGUGUGAGGAAGGAAGGACAGGCCUGUUGUCCUGGGAGACGAACGCAAGCAUGUUUCUCUGCCAGACUGGAGGCUGCGUAUAAUCUAUUGUCAAUCGCAUGAUGUACAUGAAAUCACAGUGCGCUUGACACAGAUGAUAAUGUUGUCAGCCGACCCCUGAGAAUUACUGCAGCGGUAAAUAUUUCAAUAUCUUCUUAAGACUGGAGAUCGUUGCCACAUCUUUUUUCUUUUAUUUAUUUUUUGAUGUAUUUUUCCUGUGUCUUUCCCUUAUUCCCCAAAGUGUAAAACUAUGGCAGGUGUUUUUUUUCCCCCACACUUGAUUUGAAAUGAUUUGACUACUCAGAACAUCAGAGAACGUUUGUGAAGCACUUGUGAAGCAGCGUUGCCUAUAGGCACAUAUACUGUACCAGUAUGGUGAAAGUCAUGAGUGCAUGCUAUACUGCAGGUGUGCAUUAGUGUGUGUGUGCACGCGCGCGUGUGUGUGGGUGUUGGCAGGCUUGGAGUGUGCACACACGGGUGUUUGCAUGCUUCACCUAGUGUGCAGUCACUACCAUGUGACGCAGAGACAGACUUCUCUUUUGUCUCACACCAAGUAAAUGAUUCUCCUCCUGCCAACCAAGUCCUCUCCCACCGGAACGGGACCCAGAUUCUCCCUGUCUGUGGUCGUGUGGGGAUGUAUAAUUAUCCCUUCACUCAUUCAGAAGGACAUAUGCGGGAGGGAAACUGACACAUGCAGAUGUGGUGGAAUAUCUGCUUCUUUCAUUAAAACACUGGCUCAGUGA